rnacentral:rRNA from 1 species
GUCCAUGCCGUAAACGGUGGGCACUAGGUGUGGGGACUUUCAACGGUUUCCGUGCCGAAGCUAACGCAUUAAGUGCCCCGCCUGGGGAGUACGGCCGCAAGGCUAAAACUCAAAGGAAUUGACGGGGGCCCGCACAAGCGGCGGAGCAUGUUGCUUAAUUCGAGGCAACGCGAAGAACCUUACCUGGGUUUGACAUGUACCGAAAAGCCAUAGAGAUAUGGUGUCCUUCGGGCGGUACACAGGUGGUGCAUGGCUGUCGU